rnacentral:rRNA from 1 species
CCUUGACGGUACCUACCCAGAAAGCCCCGGCUAACUACGUGCCAGCAGCCGCGGUAAUACGUAGGUGGCAAGCGUUAUCCGGAAUUAUUGGGCGUAAAGCGCGCGCAGGUGGUUUCUUAAGUCUGAUGUGAAAUCCCCCGGCUCAACCGUGGAGGGUCAUUCGAAACUGGGAGACUUGAGUGCAGAAGAGGAAAGUGGAAUUUCCAUGUGUAGCGGUGAAAUGCGUAGAUAUAGUGAGAGGAACACCAGUGGCGAAGGCGACCUUCUGGUCUGUAUACUGACACUGAGGCGCGAAAGGCGUGGGAGCAA